ensembl:lncRNA
UUUCCAAAAGGGUUCUUUUAAUUAGAAGCAAGUUUGCAAAAGAAGAAGUAACUUUCUCAUAUAAAAUUGUGGAGUGGUGAAGGUGAGGCUAACAAGAGGUGUGGAACAAAAAUCCAGGGCAAAUCCCCAAGGAGACACUGAAUUAAAAGCAACGAUCCGAUAACUGUAGUACACUGAAGGGUAACUCAAACACAGCUGUGUAAGGUGGUCCUACCCCUAAACUGACAGCAGAUACCAAAUCAGAGGACGGACUCCAUCCCAAGAGUGGCAAAGUGACCAGCUACAAACUCACCACAACACGGUGUCCUUGCCCCUUUCUGCUACCCAAGAGCUCCCACCACACUGUGACAGGUCCCAGCACUUCCCAGGAGCACAACGACAUCAAAGGGGAAGCACUGGUGGCACUUCCUGGCUGCCCCUCCUGCAGAAUGCCACCACAUGGUAGCAGAAAGGUGUCAUUCCCAGAUCUACAGAAUAGGACGUAAAUGGGAAAACACUCCGAUAUAAAGCUCUGUAACCCCAUUCCAGUCUCUAUGUCCAGCGAUUCAAGCCCCAAGAAAGUGCACAGUGAUCAAACAGCAUCAAAACAAUGAAUUUUCUGCCAAGUCAUGAGACUCCAAGGCCAUUUAAAAUGGGGAAGUGGCAGCUUUGAGAAGAUAGAAUUCUGAGUCAGAGCCUAAAUCUCAAGUCCCAGUGGUAUCUCACUCCUUGUUCAAACAGAUCUCACCUGUCCAAUGCGUUAUGUGUGUGCUUAUCAGUUGUGGCUCUCUUCUACCAGGAGCAGCAAACUUUACACCUUCACAAAGUACAAAGCCAACUUUAUCUGAGAGGGCUAGGGGUGGAGAUAUCAGGGAGAAGAAAAGGGAUACAGAAGUACAAAGAACUGAAAGGAUUGUCAGGUGGAGCCAUUUAAUGCCAAUGCCCAGCCCAACAUGUUCAGUCUUGGGGUGAACGUGCUCCUAAUUCGAGGGUGGUUUUCCAUAAGGAGGUUUUAAUGGUUACUGUACAACCACAUGGUCAUGCAUGUGGCUUUGUGUAAACACCGCAGCAACAUACCUCUCCCCAUGUGACCUGUAGUAUUGUCAUGAUGACGUAUGGACUCCAAACGUGCCAGCAAAACCCUAUAAAAACAACCUAAGAAAUGCAGUUGAACUAACAGGAACUCUAGGUUGAAUGAAGCUGUUUGCAGUACAACCUGCUGAUCCAGCAACUGCUCUGUGUUGGCUUUUCCGCUCCAAAUAAAACCCCACAUUGCACGUGCCCUUCCGGCUGCUAUUGACAAAGGAGAUCACUAAACAUAGGAGGUCUAGGGAUCAUAUUCAGUCUUAAAUGUCACAGGUUUCUAGGACUUCAAGAUUUCCAGUGGCCCUGCUAAGGGUUAUCUUUCUUGUGGGAUGUUUUGGGGUUUUAGUUUUUGACAUAUCCCAUUAAAUUCCUUUUCUAAAAGGAUUUUUCAGAAACAAGUUGCCCUGCUUGAUCUGAAAACAGCAAGUGGGAGAAGACACCAGUGCUCUGUAAACAGCCAUCUCUCCUCCUUUUUUGGAGAGCAGACUGGACAAUCUUUGGAUGACCCAAUGGAUUUCUUGAGGGAAGAAAUGACAAGGAUAAUAAAUGUAUCCCUGGGUCAAGACAGACUUGGACAUUUAUUCUAAACAAUUGCUGCAGCAGCUUCUGGCAGAGACCUGGGUAUAAACACGAAAAAUGAGAUCUUGGCCCAUCUGAAAGCAUCACUGGCUUUAAUGCUCAAAAUGAAGAGGGGAAAAAAAAUCCUUCUGGGU